UACGUAGGCAGCAAGCGUUGUUCGGAAUUACUGGGCGUAAAGCGAGUGUAGGCGGUUUGCCGUGUCUGCCGUGAAAUCUCCCGGCUCAACUGGGAGGGUGCGGCGGAAACUGGCAGGCUAGAGUGCGGAAGAGGAAAGUGGAAUUCCUGGUGUAGCGGUGAAAUGCGUAGAUAUCAGGAGGAACACCGGUGGUGAAGACGGCUUUCUGGACCGCAACUGACGCUGAGACUCGAAAGCGUGGGGAGCAAACAGG
rnacentral:rRNA from 1 species